rnacentral:rRNA from 1 species
UACGAAGGGGGCUAGCGAUGUUCGGAAUCACUGGGCGUAAAGCGCACGCAGGCGGAUCGGUUAGUCGGGGGUGAAAGCCCGGGGCUCAACCUCGGAAUUGCCUUCUAUACUGUCGGUCUCGAGUCCGGGAGAGGUGAGUGGAAUUCCUAGUGUAGAGGUGAAAUUCGUAGAUAUUAGGAAGAACACCAGUGGCGAAGGCGGCUCACUGGCCCGGUACUGACGCUCAGGUGCGAAAGCGUGGGGAGCAAACAGG